AGGGGAACCGGGAGCGACGCGGGGAGCGGCAGCAGCGGCGAGCACGAGAAAGCUCCAUCCAGGGGGCCAAGGAUGGAGUCCCUCCCUGAAGCAGUGCUGAUCAGAAUCCUGGCUUCCAUACCUGCGGUGGAUCUGGUGCUGGCGUGCCGCCUGGUCUGCUGCCAGUGGAAGAACCUGAUUGAUGGAGCAGCUCUUUGGAUCCUGAAGUGUCAGCAGGAAGGCUUCGCUGGAGCUGAGUCAGAGGAGAAUGCGGAGAAUUGGCAAAACUUCUACUUCUUGAGUAAGAGAAGAAGAAAUCUCAUCAAGAACCCCUGUGGCGAAGAAGACCUGCAGCACUGGGGAGAGGUAGAGAAUGGAGGUGACGGCUGGAAAAUUGAAGAGCUCCCUGGGGACUUUGGAAAAGAAUUCCCUAGUGAAGAAGUGCAUAAAUACUUUGUUACAUCUUAUGAGUGGUGUCGAAAGUCUCAGGUCAUCGACCUUAGAGCUGAGGGCUACUGGGAAGAGCUGAUGGAUACAACCCAGCCAAAAGUUGUGGUGAAAGACUGGUACGCGGGACGCAGCGACGCCGGCUGCCUCUAUGAGCUGUGUGUGAAACUGCUGUCAGAGAACGAGGACGUGUUGGCCGAGUACAAGACUGAGACCAUUGCCAUCCCAGAGGACAACGAUGCCAGCUGGACUGAGAUCUCCUACACCUUUUCUGACUAUGGUCCUGGGGUCCGCUUUGUCCGCUUUGAGCACGGAGGCCAGGACACACUGUUCUGGAAAGGAUGGUAUGGUGUACGUGUUACCAACAGCAGCGUGACAGUGGAACCAUAGUCAAGCUGAACAGGGGCCUGCUUGCCAGAGCUGACUUCCCUCAGGCCAUCCCAUGUGCUCUGGAUGGAUUCUGCAUGGUGCUGCUUCUGGGCUGUAGAGCAUAUGGCUCAGGCAGGAGAUCCACGCAAUAUUCUUCACACAGAAACCUGUCAUUACCUCCAUUUGAUCUCAGUCCUUCCUGCCCACUACGUCUGCAGAAAGUACUCAUCUGCCUUUGCUGCAGAUGCUUACUAAGACAGCACUUUGUAUGUAUGCCCACCAGUGCCUCUUGCUGUCACUCAGGGCAGUGAGCCACCAUCCUGAACAGAGAUAUCUAAGCUUACCUGAGCCAAGCCUGUCCCCUGCUGCCUUGGGCACAGCUUUCCAAACCCCAGCCAAGCCAGAGUACAGGCAAACAUAAUAAAAGGAGCUGUAUGUGGA